rnacentral:rRNA from 1 species
UACGGGGGGGGGCAAGCGUUGUUCGGAAUUACUGGGCGUAAAGGGCUCGUAGGCGGCCAACUAAGUCAGACGUGAAAUCCCCUCGGCUUAACCGGGGAACUGCGUCUGAUACUGGAUGGCUUGAAUCCGGGAGAGGGAUGCGGAAUUCCAGGUGUAGCGGUGAAAUGCGUAGAUAUCUGGAGGAACACCGGUGGCGAAGGCGACAUCCUGGACCGGUAUUGACGCUGAGUGAGCGAAAGCCAGGGGAGCAAACGGG